CGAUCUGUUUGUAAAAAAUUAGUUAUUAGCGAAUUCAUUAGGAGAUUUGACUAGGUUCGUAAAAGGCAUGCAAAACAAAUAAUCAAAUAGAAAGGGGAAGGAAGGAGUAAUGAUUUAGGCUUUGAAGCCCAAACCGUUAAGCCUGUCCUAAUCUAGUUUGGUUUUCAACCCAUUUAGCCUCUCACCUGUCCUAUUUCUAUGUUUUUGGGCCCUUUGGCUCGAGUUUUCAUUUCACCUGUAUUAAAUACAACUUUGGCUUCGAGGCCCAAAUGAAUGAAUAAAAUGAAUAAACAAAAUAAAUAAACAAUAAAUAAUAAAAAAAACAACACUAAUUAAACAAAAUGAAAUAAUAAAUGAGACUUUUGUCUCUUAGCCGCUUCAAAUAUGGGACUUUAACCCGUUCCUUUUCUUUUGACUUCUUGUAUUCGCGCAAUAUUUAUCCAGCUUUGGGCUCUUUUUCUAGAUUGACCCAACAAGAUGGGCCUCACUGGCCCAUGAUAAAUGUGCAAGAGGGAGAGAGUCCAUGCAGGACUCAGUUUAUUCAUAUGCAAGAAAAGAAAGUAGGAGAGAUUAAUGUGCAGGCCCGAAGCGCAGUACAGCUUACAAAUAUCCAACAUAACAAGUCAAUAACAAAAGACAUGGAAUUAUUGUAAUUUUAAAUGACAUAGCAAAUAGUAUGGAAAAGUAUAGAAAGUAAAAGAAACGCAAUUAUGGCUAGCACCAACAUAUAAAUGAAAUAUUUAAGACUAAAUUUGUAAGAAUACUCAUAAAAUGGAAUUAGAAAAUAAGGAGUUGUAUAAUAGAGUUAGGAAUUUAAAAUAAAUUUCUUAAGCGACCUAUUCAUAACAUUAAGUGGGGAAAGAGCCAUUCUUUUCAGAGAGAUAAACCAGAGCCCCUCCCUAUACAAUUUCUUCAAAAAGGAUACAACUCCUAAACAUACCAUACCAAAAAUUGAAUAGCUUGGAACAACGAACAACGGAAUACAAUAAUAUCUUAAUAAAGAGUGAAUGAAACUUGACAUAAGAGUUGUUCAAACAAGCCAAAACUCAAAAUUUUUCAAGAGAAGUAAGUUUGGAAGUUGAAGAAUAGCAUAUUUGCACUACAGUGAGCAAGUAAGUAGCAGAUCCCUGAGCAACUAAGAAGGUCUUAAUAAUUAUCAAUUCUAGAGUAACCCCACCACCACUUCCUAUGAACACGGUUCAACAGCUCUAAAUAUAUCAAUCGAAUCGAAACAUGAAACUUUAAUCGCAGAAGACAGAUAAAAAAAAUUUUUGAACAGCCUGAAACUUCAAAAAAAACAUGAAACUUUAAACACGAAACCAACUUCAGUAGGAUACUAGCGAUCCGAAACAGAUCGAAGAACCUAAGACCUUAGCUAACAAACCCGCGUUAACAAGAUACUAGUUAUUCCAAACAACAAUCAGAAGCACGAACUUCACAAAAAUGUAUGGUCCUU
rnacentral:lncRNA from 1 species